UGAUAGGUUUUUUGAGUUCUA
rnacentral:piRNA from 1 species